UGGGGAAUUUUGGACAAUGGGCGAAAGCCUGAUCCAGCAAUGCCGCGUGUGUGAAGAAGGCCUUCGGGUUGUAAAGCACUUUUGUCCGGAAAGAAAUGGCUCUGGUUAAUACCUGGGGUCGAUGACGGUACCGGAAGAAUAAGGACCGGCUAACUACGUGCCAGCAGCCGCGGUAAUACGUAGGGUCCAAGCGUUAAUCGGAAUUACUGGGCGUAAAGCGUGCGCAGGCGGUUGUGCAAGACCGAUGUGAAAUCCCCGAGCUUAACUUGGGAAUUGCAUUGGUGACUGCACGGCUAGAGUGUGUCAGAGGGGGGUUAGAAUUCCACGUGUAGCAGUGAAAUGCGUAGAGAUGUGGAGGAAUACCGAUGGCGAAGGCAGCCCCCUGGGAUAACACUGACGCUCAUGCACGAAAGCGUGGGGAGCAAACAGGAUUAGAUACCCCUGGUAGUCCACGCCCUAAACGAUGUCAACUAGUUGUUGGGGGAUUCAUUUCCUUAGUAACGUAGCUAACGCGUGAAGUUGACCGCCUGGGGAGUACGGUCGCAAGAUUAAAAGCUC
rnacentral:rRNA from 1 species